AACGAACGCUGGCGGCAGGCCUAACACAUGCAAGUCGAGCGGGCGUAGCAAUACGUCAGCGGCGGACGGGUGAGUAACACGUGGGAAUAUGCCUUUCGGUUUGGAACAACUCGGGGAAACCCGUGCUAAUUCCGGAUACGCCCUUAGGGGGAAAGAUUUAUCGCCGAAAGAUUAGCCCGCGUCCGAUUAGCUAGUUGGUGAGGUAACGGCUCACCAAGGCGACGAUCGGUAACCGGCCUGAGAGGGCGAUCGGUCACACCGGAACUGAGACACGGUCCGGACUCCUACGGGAGGCAGCAGUGGGGAAUCUUGCGCAAUGGGCGAAAGCCUGACGCAGCAACGCCGCGUGGAGGAUGAAGGCCCUUGGGUU
rnacentral:rRNA from 1 species